UCUCGUGCCCGGUGUCGGGUCUGGACUUCAA
rnacentral:tRNA from 1 species